ACAAUCCCGCUAACCCAAUAAACCUUAUAACACUCGUGAAAAUUUUCAUCGUUACGUACUGUCAAUCGACAUUCCGUGCCCGUUGACCAUCAGGUGCCGGCACUGCGUCCACGCACUUUCCGGCCCGGCGUUUCCACAACUCUUGCACAGCUCGGCAACCGCUUCAACGUGCUCGAUAACGACUCGUUCGCGAUGUUAAUCCUCGAUAUCGAGAGAAAUCAAUAAAAGAGGAAAAGAAAUUCGCGCAAAGCAACCUCACCGCAAUAUCACUUCGAAACGAAGCACUGCACAAUUCAAUUAUAUUUAUAACUCACUGAAAGCCACACUUUUGACCUAUGUAUGUUCACUCGAAUCACUUAUUCCACGAAUUUAACCCGAUCCUGUUCACAACGUCGUUAUUUAAUUACUCGAGCACGGAUCUUGAAUUUAAUUCGACGUUAUAAAUGUCGUGACUCGAGCUUUUUCAAGAAAAAAAGGAAAAAAAAAAGAAAAAAAAAGAAAAAUCACUAUUUAUUUUCGCCAAGCAAAUCGCUGUAACACCACUGUUACACCGUCAAUGUCACGUUAACGACUCGGCGACUCGAUGUAGCCAGCCAACGAUGAUUGUUUAAUAAGCUGAAAACGACACGCGAAUCCAGCCUCGGCAACUUAGCGACGUGAAACUCCCGUCAUACUUUUAUUUCGUGUGUGCGUCGCCGCGUACGAAUGAUGACUGGCCGUGCAAACCCAACUCCGCGGAUAUUACGCCAUGAAAUUGUGAAGCGGGCCAACGUGCGGCGGUCGCUUCACUUUUCCUUGGUCAAAUCUAUAUUUAGUGGUGAAUUCGAUCGACCAAGGAGAGGGGUGAUAAGUUCGGGGUUGGUGGCAACCCCUUUUUCCCGAAACGAGACCCUGCUAUCUUUCCCCCGCUGUGGCGUGUUUUUCCUCCGUGUUCGAGAAACGGUAUAAUAGAGUCGCUCGCGUGAGGAUCACACGAAUCGAUGGAAAUGCGGAGAGGAUUACCUAAUGUCGAUUAAUGACCCGAUGUCGCCUGUGCGCGGAAUUACGGGAUACGCGUUGCGCAAUCCGGCGCAACGUGUUUACAAACAGAGUUAUUGUUCGUAAGUGGAAGUAGGAUUCGGAUUGUUCGUCAAGAGAUACGAAGAAAUUUUUCGAAAUUAUCCUUGUUUUUCGUCCCUUUCGUUUCCACUUCGUUAUUUCCUCCCCCCCUCCCCUUUUUCGACGAGUUUUGAUUUGACACUCGAACGAAUGGAUUGGACGCGUGGGUGUGGUACGGCGGCCUUGGCAUUCUUCGAGCUAUCGUUUUCUCCUCCUUUGGUUUUAUUUUUUUGAAAUUUUGAAAUUUCGAUAUUGGGUUAAGAAUGAGUUACGUUUUACGUAUAAUAAUAUGGAUAGAGUGAAUGAGUUUUUUGUACGAAAGAUAACCGAAUUAUUAGGUAGAUAAAUAAUUAAAAACUUUUUACAAAGUUUCGCGAAAUGAAUUUUUGGUUAAGAAUUAUUGUGCAAAGAAACCAGUGGACGAUGAACACGUCAAUGUUCCUUAAAUUCGAAAGAAAUCUAUAUAAAAUAUUUUCUUUUUGAAAAUUUAACGAGCAUCGUGAAUAAAGUUUCAAUUUCGAAGACAACUCAAUUAUGAGAAAACGAGAAGAAACUCUAUUUAUAUCGUAGAAUUCAAUGGAAUCUGAAUUGAAAAAGGAAGACUGUUGAUUGAAAUAAUAAUUGUAGAUUAUAUCCUCGAUCCUAUUAUCGUAAUUAAAUAAUGCGAAAUCCCUCUUUUUCUCUUUCUCUCCCUCUUUUUUUUUCUUUUAAUUGGUUAAAAUAUUAAUCUGCGAUGCGAUCAAUUUCAAGUCUAUGAUAUUAUAAUCUUCGUUUCUUGAUAUUAAUUUUAUGACGCAACGUGUAUUCUGAUAAACGAUGCACAAUAAUUUACAAGGUCUAAUUACGUCAUGGGAUUAAUUUGGGUAUGAUGGAACACAGUGGAACACGUAAUGCAUGCUAAAUCGAUACACCUCGUAAUCCAUGAAGAAUCUAUCGCUAUCGAGAAACCUUACUCGUGUCCUUUCCUUUUCUUCCACGUCUAUUUCUAUUCUUUACUACUUCUCCUUUUCUAUUCGUCGUUUACUCGACGAACGUAUGACAAAAUUCGAAAUCAACUUCUCUUCGAAAUCAAGUGUUUCCCCUCGACGAGGGGAAGAGAACAUAAACGUGCGUAAGAUGAACGAACUUUCGACGAAUAAAUUCAAAAUUUACGGAUUACAAAUUAAAAUAAUUAAACGGUUUGGCGGCUGUAAAUAAGUAAAUUAACGUGUAAAAGUAAAAAUUGUGACGAGGAGUUAUUUAUAUAAUAAAUUGAAUUAUAUUUUCGAUGCGAAGAUAACCUGAAACAAAAAGUAUGAAAGAAUGGGGGAAGCGGAUAUUACCUUCCCAAGGGGAUGGUAAUAUGCAUAAGCAAGACACGAACAUAUAUACACACGCAUGCACAUGCGUUGAAAUCGCACUCAAGCGCACUGCAUGAUCCCUUCGUCGAUGAUUCCGCAAUUUAACGGGACGAUGGAUAAUUAAUUCUGUUUUGAAUCAAAGAAAAAAGGAAAAGAUAAAUUAUCUCGCGUUAAUUUGAUAAUGAAAAAAGAAAUGGCGAUAGAAAAAUAUGAAGCAAUUUAUCGAAUAAAUUUGGAAUGAUAUUUUAACAAGAAAUUACCUCGACUUCGAAAGAAACCCGUUCAAGAGAUAGUUUGAUGACACUGAUGGCAGUGUCUUCGGCAGUGCGACAUUACAAUAAAAUGCAUUUUCACUCACGAUUCGACGGAAUUCUGCAAUUUAUUCAGCUUUUCCUCGAGAGCAUGAGCUGGAGCCUCUGUGAAGGCAGCCAGAUAUGCUAGAACAGGUCCUGAUAAAGCUUUCACUUCUGCUGCCAUCGGUUUCAAUUUCUCCGCUUCCGUUACCAACUCCUAUACACAAAUAAAGAUUAAAAUUAAUAAAAUAAUACAUAUUGUGAAUUACAAAUAAAAUAAAAUACUUCACACGAUA